UCUAGUAUAGGGAGAGUCACACCCCAAACAGAGGGAAAGGAGGAGGAGGGUGGUGUAAUAUGCUUCAAGCUCAACUACAGGUUGAUGGGUGCUGAACUACCCAAUGUGUAACACCUGCUGGCUUCUCUAGUGACCUCUGUACUCGGUGGGGUAUCCAGGCUCUCAAGUGCUGCAGGGGCUGGAGCGCUCAGAUUUACAAGCUCUGAGCUAUAACACGCACAGGAUUUGGAAGGGAGUGCACCUGCUGCCCAGAGCUGAAAGUGCCGUUCAUAGGAGUAAGCAGAGUGAAAGGUCCACGCCUGUUGUUGGUAACUGUGCUAUAACAGUAGGUAAAAGUCAAAGCCUCAUUGC